CAAAGAUGAAUGGCCGGGGGCCCAUGACAGCCCCAGGAGACCCUCAGACCAUGUGUUCAAGGUGGUCGGGCCACAGCUAGGUUUCAUACAUUUUAGGGGGACACAAGGCAUCAAUCAAUACACAUAAGCUGUACAUUGGUUACGCCUAGAAAGGCGGAACCACCGGAAGCGGGGAUGCUUCCAGGUCAUAGGUGGAUUCGAAGAUUUUCUGAUUGGCCGUUGGUUGAAAGAGUUAUUGUCGGUAGAUAGGAAUGUCUGGGUUAAGAUAAUGGGUUGUGCAGACCGAGGUUUCAUCAUGCAGAUGAAGCCUCCAGGCAGCAGACUGCAGAGAGAAUGGAUGGGAGAUGUUUAUUAUCAGACUGAAAGACUGUUCUGCCAGUCAUUCCAAAAGGGAGGGGGGAUAACAAGGUAUGUCCGUCUCCCGCUUCCCACCGUGGCCUGAACUCGCUUUUCAGGUUCACUUUGGAAUGUCCUUAGCCAAGACGAGGGUCCGUUCGUUUGGCUGGGGGUCUUAGGAUUGAUUUUCUGGUUUCCAUAUGCAAUGGGAGUGGGGGAGAGAUGGGGUGGGGGCAGCCUGAGGCUCAGCCCUGGCCAAGGAAGCCCCCUCCAGGCAUUGGCCAGGUUCUGACUCCUACAGUGUUACAGCCGGCAGGGAACUUGGACCCACAAGCUCCUCCCCUCCCCAAGCCUCAGUUUCCUUGUUUGUAAGAUGAUGCCUGGGGUCCUUGCUUCCUUGUAGGGCUCAAACAAGAUCCCAGGCUCUAUUAGGAACAGUGCCAAGGCAGGGGGCCCCCAACAGCUCAAGCAGGCUGGAGUUUGGUGCUCACGGAGUAGGGGAAGCUGGUGGCUUCUCAGGCUCAUGACAUUGUCCCUGCAGGGUGCAGGGCUAUUCCCUGGUGGGGCUGGGGGUGUGUGUGGCCAUUGGCAGGAGCCCCGAUGUUCUCAUCCAUGAGUCAGCAGAGAUGGGAACAUCAAUUUAUUUGAGUGGCUGGUGCAGCCGAGUCCUUGGAGGACAAGGAGUUUUUGCCAAGCCUGGGCCGAAUGUGCCAGGGCUUGGGGCAGGGAAACUGUGUCCAGGGACACAGCUUCAAGGGCCCCUGGUUGAUGUCCCCAGGGCCUGCUGAGUGCCAGGCCCUGGGACUCAGAGAGGACACCACCCGAUGCAGGCCCUGGGACUCAGAGAGGACACCACCGGAUGGAGCUGCCCAAAGGGAGUGCCAGUCGGAUGUGGGGGUGGGGGAAGAGGAGGGACCAGGAUGUGACGGGUCCGAGGUCUCACGGGGUGCCCAGCACGGUGGCUUCAGGUCCCUCCGCAUUAUCGCAUGUGCCAGUGCUUUGCUCCUUUUUACACCUGAGUAAUCGUCCACUGUGGAGUCAUCCUUUCAGCUGCUGAGAGAUGCGUGGGCAGUUUCCACCUGCAGCCAUCGUGAGUAGUCGGAAUUCACAAAUCCUACAAUUCUAAGCUCUCAGAACCCUUGGAUCUGAAGGUUCUCAAAUGCUAAGGUUUCUAGAUGUUAGCAGACGAAGGUGUCAAGACGCAUGGGAUCUACGAUGCAGAGUUCUGAGUGGGGAUAUGCGUCCCCCACCCCGACUCACCCCACGACACAUAUCAGUAACAGCCUCUGCAACUCCGCCUUGGUGCCCCCGCACGUUCCAGGGGCAGCCACACUGAUGGAUUGCUCAGAACGGGCUGGAGCCGCAUCUCCACUUCUGCCCCGACAGUUCCUGCUGCAGCAGAUGCCCUUCCAGAUGCAAACUCCUACGCAUCCUUCAAAACCCAGCUAAAUGUCACUUCCUCCGGAAAGCCUUCCCCACCUCUCUAGCAGGCAGUUGAGCCCAGCUUACAUUUCCGACAGGCCCUCACUGCCCGGGAUUGCAGCUGCGGGCUCCUUGAGGGCAGGGAUUGUCCCUCAUUCAUCCUGAUUCCAUGCCAAGGCUUAUAGUAGGUGCUCAAUAAAUGCUUGCUGAAUGAUAGAUGGGCUGUGUGUGGUGCUAAGUUGAAUGCCUUGUCCCUUUCCCACAAUUUCAUCUCAACCACCCAAGAAUUUAGCGUGAGUAUGGCUGUUUUACUAAGGAGCAAACAGGCUUACAGAGGUGAACUCACCUGCUCCAAGGUCACACAACAGUCAAGGGCUGGACCUGGGAUUUGGUCCCAGCCCCGCAAACACAGCCCCACUACGUACCUAGCAUGGGCUCAGGUAGGCCCUAGGGGUGGG
rnacentral:lncRNA from 10 species